CAAAAUCCCGUGAACAUCCGCUUUUGUAUUCAGCGAGUGACGCGCUGACACUUCGUUGCGCCAGCUGGCACAGAGUGGAGCGGGUGACCGGUCCAAGCUGGCGGCCCCGCGGCUCGUCAGCACCACUAGGCAGCAGCGGUCGAUGUCUAUUCUUUAUGUCUAUGGCUGUAGCUGCUGUAAGCUUAAUUUAUGCUUCCACGUUACGGCGGCGGCGGGUGUGGCUGUGUGUUUCUGCGGGUGCCGAAUCCUUGGUGAGCCGAAUCUCAUAUUGAAGCGCAGGCUACGGAGAAGACGUGAAUUUACAACACUGGUUCACCCACUGAGGGACCUGGACGAGCAAGUGCACUUUCGAUACUUUCAAAUGUCAGCAACUGCCGCAAAUUACGUUCUGAGCGGACCAAUCACAGCACUUGCGGUCCACGUCAACUCGACUCGCAGUUAGAUUUUUUCGGAGGUGCACGUCAGGCUACGGCGGAGGGGUCUACGUAGUUACUUAUUAUGUAUAUUUUCCUUUUUUCUUUCAGGUUGUUCUUUAAUGUACUGUGGUGCUCUGGUGAUACCAUCAUGUUGAUCAAAACAUUCCUGUCAUCCAGCACCAACCAAGAUCUUUGCCACUGUGAUAAGAUGUGAGCUUUACAUGUUUUAGGUUUACUUUUGAUGCCAAUAUUUCAUGUUUACUUGGAAUAAAUAUGUAUUACAGUAUG
ensembl:lncRNA